rnacentral:rRNA from 1 species
UACGAAGGGGGCUAGCGUUGCUCGGAAUUACUGGGCGUAAAGCGCACGUAGGCGGAUUCUUAAGUCGGUGGUGAAAUCCUGGAGCUCAACUCCAGAACUGCCUUCGAUACUGGGAAUCUUGAGUUCGGGAGAGGUGAGUGGAACUGCGAGUGUAGAGGUGAAAUUCGUAGAUAUUCGCAAGAACACCAGUGGCGAAGGCGGCUCACUGGCCCGAUACUGACGCUGAGGUGCGAAAGCGUGGGGAGCAAACAGG